rnacentral:rRNA from 1 species
GACGAACGCUGGCGGCGUGCUUAACACAUGCAAGUCGAACGGAAAGGCCCUGCUUGCAGGGUACUCGAGUGGCGAACGGGUGAGUAACACGUGGGUGAUCUGCCCUGCACUUCGGGAUAAGCCUGGGAAACUGGGUCUAAUACCGGAUAGGAGCCAUUUUUAGUGUGAUGGUUGGAAAGUUUUUUCGGUGUAGGAUGAGCUCGCGGCCUAUCAGCUUGUUGGUGGGGUAAUGGCCUACCAAGGCGGCGACGGGUAGCCGGCCUGAGAGGGUGGACGGCCACAUUGGGACUGAGAUACGGCCCAGACUCCUACGGGAGGCAGCAGUGGGGAAUAUUGCACAAUGGGCGCAAGCCUGAUGCAGCGACGCCGCGGGGGGGAUGACGGCCUUCGGGUUGUAAACUCCGUUCGCUAGGGACGAAGCUUUUUGUGACGGUACCUAGAUAAGAAGCACCGGCUAACUACGCG